CAGAGCACAGACCUGUUUCUGGAACACACCGGAGGGAGUGCUUUACCUUACCUUGGAUACACCGACAGUACCACUGGAUGUCACUGUUGCUUCAUGAAAGUCAAAAGAUGUACCAGAAUACUGACAAAUCUUUUUAAAAAAACCCCAUGACUCUGACACAUCAAAACAGUGUGUGAGCUCCUCCUGGUGGUGCAGAAGUCUUGGAGAGUCAAACAGGAACAAGGAAUAAAAGGAGAAAAAUCAAGUGACUAUGUUGAAGCUUCAAGAAAGUUGCUGCCAAUGUAGCAUUUAGGGUCUUUCCCUCCACACCUGCAGAAUGACUGAGCCAGAUAACAAGGAGAAAGAAGAGGACUCGGGAUGGCAUGUUCCAGGAGAUGCUGCAAGCCAAUGCUGCAUCAGAGAACAAAACCAGGGCCCGGAGGAUCACCCUUGCAGACAGCCUGGAGAAGGAUACAGCAGAGAGGAGAAAGGUUCAGGAAAAGGAAAAGGACAUGCAACAGGAGAUGCUUUCACUUCUCAGACAGAAAACUGAAAUGCUGGUAGACCUGCAGAUUAAACAAUCCCAUGCUUGCCUCCCUCUGCAGAACUCAAUAUUGGGACCUCCCUAUGCCCUCCCUCAACAUUCCACGUGGCAUCAAGGAACCACUGCACUACCCCUACCACUCCAUUCCAGGGAACAUUAAAGACAAUCACAGCUUCACAUACACUGACCUGUGAAAGCCAUGGGGUGGUGUACAUGUACCUGGAAUGGAGUGUUCUUUUCCCUUCAUAAGUUCUGUUCCCUUAAUUUAUUAAGUUUUAAAUGUUUUUUUUUAAUUGCCUGGUUCAUGUUACAGAUAAAAUUCAAUUUUUUGGAACAAA